ACUGAACCGAAGGAAAGCGGAGACCACAAAACCAGUACACAGAAAGGGAGCAAAAAAUGCAAAAGCGAAUUGCGAAGGGAAAAUUGUUGUCCAACUGGAGUUUGGUAGCCGAAAGUUUUUUGGGGCCAAAAUGGCUGCCAGACUGUUCUGCUUUUUUGCAUCAAUCUCCUGAAAAUUAGUAGUGCCCUCAACAGCCAGUUCAGAAACCGAACAAACUUGGUUGGAUCGCUGGGUACACAAGUGUUUGGACCCCCUUCUGGUGGCGGACCUCCUCCGUGCUUCGGUCCCCCUCCUGGAGAACCAUUUCCCCCCGUUUUGGAUUUUCCCUUUUCCAUUUCCC